AAGGAAUAUUGGUCAAUGGACGCAAGUCUGAACCAGCCAUGCCGCGUGAAGGAUGAAGGUCCUCUGGAUUGUAAACUUCUUUUAUCUGGGACGAAAACGGGAUUUUUAUCUCAAUUGACGGUACCAGAGGAAUAAGCACCGGCUAACUCCGUGCCAGCAGCCGCGGUAAUACGGAGGGUGCGAGCGUUAUCCGGAUUUACUGGGUUUAAAGGGUGCGUAGGUGGGCUUAUAAGUCAGUGGUGAAAUCUCCGAGCUUAACUUGGAAACUGCCGUUGAUACUAUAGGUCUUGAAUUAUCUGGAGGUAAGCGGAAUAUGUCAUGUAGCGGUGAAAUGCUUUGAUAUGACAUAGAACACCAAUUGCGAAGGCAGCUUACUACAUAUAAAUUGACGCUGAGGCACGAAAGCGUGGGGAUCAAACA
rnacentral:rRNA from 1 species